GAAUCAAAAACAUAGGUUCCACCGAGAUUUGAACUCGGGUCGCAGGAUUCAAAGUCCUGAGUGCUAACCGCUACACCAUGGAACCGCACAUU
rnacentral:tRNA from 1 species